rnacentral:misc_RNA from 1 species
GAUUUAAUUUAGACAAUGGACUCAUUUGUUAUCAUCUCAUUUAAUGCCAUUCCUAUAUUGAUGCUACAGAUGCAGUAAAUAUGACUUUAAAGUGGAAUUUGUAUGUUUGUUUGAAGAUAGUGUGGCUAAAAUUCAGAUACAUACCAUUAUUGUUAUAAUAAGGAAUAGAUAAUGCAUACAUAAUUGUAGAAAUUUGGUCCCUGAUCUGAUUUCAUGUUUCUCCAAAGGUGAUUUUUUAAUAUGUAAUGUUCAUAAGAAAAAAUGUGAAAUAAUCACCUAUUGAUGAAAUAUGUGGGUAUUCAAUGAUGAGAAAAGUUGUAUAUUUGACUGAUAAUUCACUGGAACAGAAAGAAUUUACCAGGAAGAUUGAUAUAACCCAUAAAUGCCACCAAACAAAGAAACUAUUUUAGUAUGUCUGUAUAUCGUGUUUUAACUUACCCUGGGUUCAUAGAAACAAAGGAAUAAAAAUGAUUUAUUUUUGUUGUAAGAUGCAAGUUUGAGAUGUCAUCAUUGAAUUGUCAGAACUACAAAAAGUUUUGAUUGAUUUUCACUAAAGCAAAGUUGUGUGUAUAACAUUGAUUGGCGUCAGAUAUUGAGAGGAAGCAGAGACAAUGUCAGAUGAUGCCCGAUGAAUUGUGUGUAUUUAUUUAUUUGAUAUAGCUGUUGUAUUCUCAUAGGUUUAAAGCAUGUUGUUAUUGGCAGAUUUUUAUUUUACGUUACUUUUUGAAGCAGUUUUGUGAUGUAGAACUAAUCAAAACAAAUUAAUUGUUGCUUAUUUAUAGUAUUUAUUUGUAAUUACCAGAUGCAAGUACCUGUAGUGCAGUUUAUUUACUUCGCAGAUUUUUGUAUGAGUAGUUAACUGAAACUGCAGAAACAUGUAGGUUAUGUAUGGAAUGCUUAAAAUGUUAUUAACAUGAUUUAUUCAGCUGUAUUAAAUCUUAAGACAAUUUGUAGGCAUUGAGGCUUUUGAUUGAGUAUUUAUGAACAUAUAACUACCAGUACUAACAUUAAUUUGUGACUUUAAGGGCUGUUUUAGCCAAGUUUUUUUGUUCUGUACAUUGACUUAUCACAGUUUACACAAGAUUGUAAACCAACUUUUAUUUGUGAUGACUUUAUUUUUGGUUUACCCAUUGAUAAAAUUAUUAUGGGGAACUAUUUUGCAUGACCAAGCCUAUGUUGGUAGUUUUAGACAAUUGUAAGAGACAUUUAAUAUCUUGUUCAGGGCAACCAAUAUCAGCAACAAUGAGGCUUUCAAAAUUCUUGCAAAAUUUCUCACACACAAAUUUAAUGAAUAAAAGUUGGCUUUUGUACAAUGUCAGUAUUUCACAAUCAUUGGCAGAACACUGCAUUAAUGAAUACUUCAACUGUCUCAUUUAAUAUGUUUUUGUGUAAAUCAGAGGUCCACAAAAUUGGCAUAUCAUUCUUUUACAAAAUGCAUAUUUUUAUUUAUGCUGAUCCAAUAUUUGUCAUUGUAAUCUGAUUUAUAUUGUAUAGAGCUAUAUAUACACAUGAUGCAAUGGGCCAUAUGACUAACAUUGAUGUUCAUGUAUACGUGUUACAAGAACUAUAAUUUGUUCAGCCUGACUGCAGGCUAGUCUUAGAUUAUGAAGCUAUUAGGUUGGAAAUAUGAUACAUGCCUAAAUGUGAUCACAUGUUGAUAACUUUUGAGUUUAUAUAAGGAUUAUCUGUGCUUCAAAGUGCUCUUAAUGUUAACAUAAAACAGUGAGCCAUGUUU